GGGGAUGACGGAUUUAGACAGUUCUUUGACAGACCCACGUUAUGCAAGACGAGCACGCUCAUGUGCCUCGCUAAUCCAGUGAGCAUCCAACAAAUGCAGCUCAAACUGCUUGGAAUAAAGUUGUAACUGCGUUUAACGCAGCUACCUUUGCUCCAGCAUAUGCCUAAACUUUAGGUGUAUGCCUAGCACCUGCUUAUUUCCCGCAGCAGGAUUCGCUAGUUCAUUAGGGAAUAUAUAUGGCGUGGUUGGUUUACCUGCACCAUAUGAACUUUGUAAACCGACUGUUGUGGCUUGUCGUCAGCUACGAUACACAGCAGUACUACUAGCUGACUAAUCUUGUGAAUAAACGUUGUCUGUAAAACUACUGGACGGGGGUUUAACUCCCCCCAUCUCCACCA
rnacentral:tmRNA from 1 species